rnacentral:rRNA from 1 species
AGAACGAACGCUGGCGGCAGGCCUCAAACAUGCAAGUCUAGGGGGUGUAGCAAUACAUCACCGGCGGACGGGUGCGUAACACGUGGGAAUAUACCUUUUGGUUCGGAACAACGCAGGGAAACUUGCGCUAAUACCGAAUGUGCCCUUACGGGGAAAGAUUUAUCGCCAAAGGAUUAGCCCGCGUAGGAUUAGCUAGUUGGUGAGGUAAUAGCUCACCAAGGCUCCGAUCCUUAGCUGUUCUGAGAGGAAGAUCAGCCACACUGGGACUGAGACACGGCCCAGACUCCUACGGGAGGCAGCAGUUGGGAAUCUUGGACAAUGGGGAAACCCUGAUCCAGCCAUGCCGCGUGAGUGAUGAAGGCCUUCGGGUUGUAAAACUUUUUCGACGGGGACGAUAAUGACGGUACCCGUAGAAGAAGCUCCGGCUAACUUCGUGCCCAGCAGCCGC